rnacentral:rRNA from 1 species
UGCCAGCCGCCGCGGUAAUACAUAGGGGUCAAGCGUUGUUCGGAAUUACUGGGCGUAAAGCGCAUGUAGGCGGAACAGAAAGUUAGAAGUGAAAUCCCUGGGCUCAACCUAGGAAUUGCUUUUAAAACUUCUUUUCUGGAAUUCAGGAGAGGAAAAUGGAAUAUCCAGUGUAGAGGUGAAAUUCGUAGAUAUUGGAUGGAACACCAGUGGCGAAGGCGAUUUUCUGGACUGAUAUUGACGCUGAGAUGCGAAGGCAUGGGUAGCAAACGGGAUUAGAUA